GACGAACGCUGGCGGCGUGCUUAACACAUGCAAGUCGAGCGGUAAGGCCCUUUCGGGGGUACACGAGCGGCGAACGGGUGAGUAACACGUGGGUGACCUGCCCUUAGCUCUGGGAUAAGCCUGGGAAACUGGGUCUAAUACCGGAUAUGACUCCAUGACGCAUGUUGUGGGGUGGAAAGCCUUGUGCGGCUGAGGAUGGGCCCGCGGCCUAUCAGCUUGUUGGUGGGGUGAUGGCCACCAAGGCGACGACGGGUAGCCGGCCUGAGAGGGCGACCGGCCACACUGGGACUGAGAUACGGCCCAGACUCCUACGGGAGGCAGCAGUGGGGAAUCUUGCGCAAUGGGCGAAAGCCUGACGCAGCGACGCCGCGUGAGGGAUGACGGCCUCGG
rnacentral:rRNA from 1 species